CCCAAAUCAACCAGCACCCUUCAGCCCUGGGUCCCAGCUUGAUUCCAUGGAUGACCCAGGCUUUAUAUGCAUUACCCUGUUUCAGGCAGCAUCCAUGUGUCUGGUGUCUCCUAGGGGAGGAAGAGACUCAGGUGUGAAGGAAGAAAAAGCGUGAGGAGACCGCUAGAGAGAAAGAGCAUGGGUUUGAGUGCAGCCUGCCCCCUAAAAGCACUGGGUUGACACACACAACCAGAAGGCCAGCUUUCUAGAAGCUCAGCUCCACAUCAACCAGCCUGAUACGAGCAAAGUGUAUGGCCAAAAUUCACGCCAGCACACUGAAAUGCCAGAUGGGUGGCAUUAGGACUAUCUCAAAGUCGGCCAGGACACUCACCCCACAUGAGACCACCCCGCUCCCUGAAUCAGACACCCCGCUUGGUAAGGUAACAGAGGCCAGUUGCCAGCAAUCAGCACCCUCAGCCCUGGCACCUCGCUUGAGAUCCACGACCUCCCUGGCAUCAUUCACUUUACCUGGAUUUAGGUGGAUUCCUGGGCACAAGGUUCUCCGCAGAGGAAGCAGAGGCUCAGGUGGAGCAGGAGGAAGGAGGAGGUGGCGAUAUCUAGAGAGAAAGGCACAGGGAGAGGCUGAGACCCACUCCCACAAUACCCGUGGCCUGAUGUGUUAUAUUCAUGACCCAAAGCCCAGAUCUCCUAAAGCCAAAUUAUCACACCAGCCUGAUGCUAAACCACUGCAUACCCAAUAUCGAAGCCAGGGAUUUCUGGGUCCAGUGUUGUACUUCAAACAAGCAAAGGGCACGCAGGCCCCAGGCCGCCUAUCAAACUCUCUAGCCAUUGGGCUACCCGCUCAUGCAGAGAAUGAACCCAAGACGUGAUGGUGGAAUCUGGAUCAUCUCUGAGUUGAGGCACAUUGGGCCACCAAUCAUUUUGCACCCCGUGUCUGAGCCUGGCGACGCAGCCACAGUGCUACAAGGGGGAGAGGUGUUGGUGGGGAGGGGCUCUCCAGUUACUCUGGCUCCUUCUGAUGGACAGAGCCCGCCAUGAGCAUAGUCCACCCCAGCCCCCAAAUACAACCGCACGGACACACCCCAUUCAUGACCUGAAGCCCAGCUUCCCAGGAGACAACCCCCCCGCCAUGCUGAUUCUAGAAAUCUAUACCUCCAGUAUUCAAGCCAGGUGUUUCUGGGUCCAGAGGUCUGCCUGCCAACAAGCAAAGGACACUCAGACCACAGACAGCCUGUCUCUCUCCCUCAUCUUGGGGCCACCCGACCAGACAGGAAUUGAAUUAGACACGCGGUAGCACAACACUGUCCCCUCGUUUGAGUUGAGGCUAUCUGGGCCACUGGGUCAGAGGCACCCUGAACAAACACACCAGGCUCUGGGCACCUCCUUGAGGUUCCAUGCGUCCAUCUCCACUCCCCACUGAGCCUGGACGCGCAAACAGGGAGCUGCAGGGGGCUCUGCUGGGCUCUGGCGCCCUCUGGUGGACCUGUGCUCUAACAGCAACUCUCGGCCCUUCCUCUGCCUCCCACAGCAAAAGUCUGGUCUGCGCUGGCCCAGGCCUAUUGUCUGCAUGGUGUCCUUGCUCCUCUCCCUGUCAGGCACACUGUCACAUUCGGCUAAGACCCUCACCCCAUACACGACCACCCCACACCCUGAAAUAAACCGCUCCAUUUUGUAAGUCACGAGAGCAGGCCCCAAAUCAACCAGCACCCUUCAGCCCUGGGUCCCAGCUUGAUUCCAUGGAUGACCCAGGCUUUAUAUGCAUUACCCUGUUUCAGGCAGCAUCCAUGUGUCUGGUGUCUCCUAGGGGAGGAAGAGACUCAGGUGUGAAGGAAGAAAAAGCGUGAGGAGACCGCUAGAGAGAAAGAGCAUGGGUUUGAGUGCAGCCUGCCCCCUAAAAGCACUGGGUUGACACACACAACCAGAAGGCCAGCUUUCUAGAAGCUCAGCUCCACAUCAACCAGCCUGAUACGAGCAAAGUGUAUGGCCAAAAUUCACGCCAGGUAUGAGGCCAGAGUUGGGCCUUCAAACAAUCAAAGGGGACUCAAACUUGAGACAGCCUGUCAAACUCUCUAGGCAUUGGGCCACCGGACAGUGAGGGAAUUGAACCUGAGAUGGGAUGGCAGAAUUGUGUCCCCGCUUCUGAGAUGAGGCAAAUUGCCCAGAGACAUGGAGAUGCCCUGUAAUCCAGCCCCGGCUCUGGGCACCUCUUUGGGCUUGCACCAACCCAUCUCCAACACAUACUUGAGUCUUAAGUUGCAGCCAGGGAGCUGCAGAGGCUCAGUUAAGUGGUACCGGGGUGGUGGGGGUGUGGUGGUGCUCUGUCGCCAUCUAGUGGACAUGUGCUCUAACAGCAAUUCCCAGCCCUUCCUCUGCCCCCCUCAGCAGAACCCUGCUCUGCUCUGGUGUGGCACGCCUUCCAGCGAGAUUUCUUUAUUCCUCUCGCUCUGCCUACUGAAAUACAUUACAGGUGGGUUAUGACUAUCUCAAAGUCACCAGGGCGAUUACCCCCAAGCAUGACACAACCCCAUUCCUUGAAAUCAGCCACACACACCCCUAGUGAAGUCAAGUGGGCAGUCUUUGAAUCGGUCAGCAACCUGCAACCCUGGACCCAGCUUGAAAUAAGGAUCGCCCAGCCUUCUUCACAUUACCUGGAUUGGGGGGAGGGUUCCUUGUCACUGGGAGUGGUAGAGGCUAACAUGGGAGGGAAGGAGGAGAUCUCUGGAGAGAAACAGCACAGGCACCAGCACUGCACAUCCCAAAAUAACUGUUUUGAAACCCUGGUCCUAUUCAUAACCAGAAGCCCACCUUUCCAGAAGGCAAGCUGCACUCCAUCGUGAUUCUAGAAAACUGCACACCCAAGACUCAAACCAGGUCCCUGUGGAUCCAGAGAUCUGCCUUCAGACAGUCAAAGGGCCCUCAGAACCCAGACUAGUGUGUCAAAGCCUCGAGCCAUUGAGCCAACUGACCAUGAAGGAACUGAACCAUAGAUGUGAUGGCAGACUUAUUUCCCCACUCUCAGAGGAGGCAAAAUUGGCCAGAGGCUCAGGGGCACCAUGUACCAAAGUGGAAGGCUUUGGGCACGUCCUUGGGUGCCAAGGACCCAUCUCCAACCUUACCUCUGAGCCUGAAG
rnacentral:lncRNA from 9 species